ACGUUUGCCAGGAUCUUCUUGAUGUCCUCAAUCAUCUUCUUGAUGUCAUCAGGAGAUUUGGGCAACUGAAUUGACAACACAGCAUUGGCCAGUUUCUCAAUGUCCUCCGGCUUCACCAGCUCAUCUGUUAAGGCCCACCCUUGUGCCAUUACUUAUUACUCGGAAGUAAAGAGAGAUCGUUUCGAGGAGGAUGGCUUUGUGACUUCACUUACCUCCCCGUCGGUGGAAGGUUCUGGCCCAGAAUAGCGGCUAUCACAGACGACAUCAUCAAUGCUAUCUGCUGGCCAUUCGGGGAUGCCCGGAAAAGAGUUGGCACAGUCCUCCGC